GGAAGUGGUCCGACAAAGCGUACACUAAGCUACAAGACUGCUUCGCUAACAUGGACUGGAAUAUGUUCAGGGAUUCAUCCGAUAACAUUAAGGAGACAGACGACGGUGAGACGACGGUGAGACAGCAAAGAGGGACGAGGUCAGAGUCCUGGCAGUGGGAUGCCAGGGCCACAACCUCUCCCUCAACGUCAGCAAGACAAAGGAGCUGACGUGGACUACAGGAAACGGAUGGUCGAGCAUGCCCCCAUCCACAUCGACGGGGCUCUAGUGGAGCAGAUCCUCAAAACGUUCUACAGCUGUACCACUGUCUUGACUGCAUCAAGACUCUUGGUAUGGCAACUGCACUCCCCUCAAUCGCAAUGAGUUGCUGAGGAUGGUGCGGACGCCCCAGUGAACAUCACUGGGGCCGAGCUCUCUGCCAUCCAGGACCUCUAUACCAGGCGGUGUCAGAGGAAGAUCUGGAAAAUGUUCAGACCCAAGCCACAGACUGUUAACUCUGCUUCUGCACGGCAAGCGGUACCGGAUCGCCAAGUCUGGGACCACCUGAACAGCUUAUCCCCCCACGCCAUAAGACUGCUGAACAGUUAAUCAGAUGGCUAACCAGACUAUUGCAUUGACCCUUUUUUGCACUGACUCUGCACACUCACUGGACUCUACCCACAGACUCAAACAUACUUACACUGACACGCCAAAACACACGUACACACACACACACACACACACACACACACACACACACACACACACACACACACACACACACACACACACACACACACACACACACACACAAACAAAACAUGAAUAUUGACGUCAGACACGCACACACGUACACACUUUCACACUCUCCACUUACACUACUCCUACUCUGUUAAAUAUCUAUCCUGAUUGCCAGUCACUUUUACCACAACCUACAUGUACAUACUACCUUAACUACCUCAUACCCCUAAACAUUUACACAGUACUGGUACUCCUUGUAUAUACAGUGCAUUCGGAAAGUAUACAGACCCCUUGACUUUUCAAAAUUGUGUUACAUUGCAGCCUUAUUCUAAAAUUGAUUAGAUAAAACAUUUUCCCUCAUCAAUCUACACACAAUACCCCAAAAUGACAAAGCGAAAACAUAUUUUUAUACAUUUUAGCACAUUUAAGUGCUAAGUAUUCAGACCUGUUUCCAUUGAUCAUCCUUGAGAUGUUUCUACAACUUGAUUGGAGUUCACCUGUAGUAAAUUCAAUUGACAUAAUUUGGAAAGGCACACACCUGUCUAUAUAAGGUCCCAGAGUUGACAGUGCAUGUCAGAGCAAAAACCAAGCCAUGAGGUUGAAGGAAUUGUCUGUAGAGUUCUGAGAUAUGAUUGUGUCGAGGCACAGAUCUGGAGAAGGCUACUAAAGAAAUAUGCAGCAUUGAAGGUCCCCAACAACACAGUGGCCUCCAUCAUUCUUAAAUAGAAGAAGUUUGGACCCACCAAGACCCUUCCUAGAGCUGGCCGCCAGGGAGGUGACCAAGAACCCGAUUGUCACUCUGACAGAGCUCCAGAGUUCCUCUGUGGAGAUGGGAGAACCUUCCAGAAGGACAACCAUCUCUGCAGCACUCCACCAAUCAGGCCUUUAUGGUAGAGUGGCCAGACGGAAGCCACUCCUCAGUAAAAGGCAUAUGACAGCCAGCUUGGAGUUUGCCAAAAGGCACCUAAAGGACUCUCAAAGAAACAAGAUUCUCUGGUCUGAUGAAACCAAGAUUGAACUCUUUGGCCUGAAUGCCAAGCGUCACGUCUGGAGGAAACCGGGCACCAUCCCGGUGAAUCAUGGUGGUGGCAACAUCAUGCUGUGGGGAUGUUUUUCAGCGGCAGGGAGACUAGUCAGGAUCGAGGGUAAGAUAAACAGAGCAAAGUACAGAGAGAUCCUUGUUGAAAACCUGCUCUAGAGCACUCAGGAACUCAGACUGGGGCGAAGGUUCACCUUCCAACAGGACAACAACCCUAAGCACACAGCCAAGACAAUGCAGGAGUGGCUUUGGGACAAGUCUCUGAAUGUCCUUGAGUGGCCCAGCCAGAGCCUGGACUUGAACACGAUCAAACAUCUCUGAAGAGACCUGAAAAUAGCUGUGCAGCGAGGCUCCCCAUCCAACCUGACAGAGAUUGAGAUGAUCUGCAGCGAAGAAUGUGAGAAACUUCCCAAAUACAGGUGUGCCAAGUUUGUAGCGUCAUACCCAAGGCUGUAAUCGCUGCCAAAGAUGCUUCAACAAAGUACUGAGUAAAGGGUCUUACUUGUGUUUAUUAAAUACUUGUGUUUACUUGUGUUUAUUAAAUACUUGUGUUUAUUAAUUGUAAUACAUUUGCAAAAUUUCUAAAUUGUAUGUGUAGAUUGACGAGAAAACCCCCCCAGAUUUAAUCCAUUUGAAUAUAAAGCUGUAAUGUAAGAAAAAGUGGUCUGUUACUAUUUUCUAUUUUUAUUUGCACAUUUUCAUUAUUUUUUAACUGUGCAUUGUUGGGAAAGGGUCUACACCUGUUGUAUUCGGCGCAUUGUGACAAAUAAAAUGUGAUUUGAUACAACGA